ACAUAGCGAGGACGCUAACAGGAUCAACGACUCAGGAUGAGGGUCAGGAGCGCCAGGAGGCGAAGACACA
rnacentral:sRNA from 1 species